CUUGACACUGAACAUUGAGCCUUGAUGUGUAGGAUAGGUGGGAGGCUUUGAAGUGUGGACGCCAGUCUGCAUGGAGCCGACCUUGAAAUACCACCCUUUAAUGUUUGAUGUUCUAACGUUGACCCGUAAUCCGGGUUGCGGACAGUGUCUGGUGGGUAGUUUGACUGGGGCGGUCUCCUCCUAAAGAGUAACGGAGGAGCACGAAGGUUGGCUAAUCCUGGUCGGACAUCAGGAGGUUAGUGCAAUGGCAUAAGCCAGCUUGACUGCGAGCGUGACGGCGCGAGCAGGUGCGAAAGCAGGUCAUAGUGAUCCGGUGGUUCUGAAUGGAAGGGCCAUCGCUCAACGGAUAAAAGGUACUCCGGGGAUAACAGGCUGAUACCGCCCAAGAGUUCAUAUCGACGGCGGUGUUUGGCACCUCGAUGUCGGCUCAUCACAUCCUGGGGCUGAAGUAGGUCCCAAGGGUAUGGCUGUUCGCCAUUUAAAGUGGUACGCGAGCUGGGUUUAGAACGUCGUGAGACAGUUCGGUCCCUAUCUGCCGUGGGCGCUGGAGAACUGAGGGGGGCUGCUCCUAGUACGAGAGGACCGGAGUGGACGCAUCACUGGUGUUCGGGUUGUCAUGCCAAUGGCACUGCCCGGUAGCUAAAUGCGGAAGAGAUAAGUGCUGAAAGCAUCUAAGCACGAAACUUGCCCCGAGAUGAGUUCUCCCUGACUCCUUGAGAGUCCUGAAGGAACGUUGAAGACGACGACGUUGAUAGGCCGGGUGUGUAAGCGCAGCGAUGCGUUGAGCUAACCGGUACUAAUGAACCGUGAGG
rnacentral:rRNA from 1 species